GAUGAACGCUGGCGGCGUGCCUAAUACAUGCAAGUCGAGCGAACAGAUAAGGAGCUUGCUCCUUUGACGUUAGCGGCGGACGGGUGAGUAACACGUGGGUAACCUACCUAUAAGACUGGGAUAACUUCGGGAAACCGGAGCCAAUACCGGAUAAUAUUUCGAACCGCAUGGUUCGAUAGUGGAAGAUGGUUUUGCUAUCACUUAUAGAUGGACCCGCGCCGUAUUAGCUAGUUGGUAAGGUAACGGCUUACCAAGGCGACGAUACGUAGCCGACCUGAGAGGGUGAUCGGCCACACUGGAACUGAGACACGGUCCAGACUCCUACGGGAGGCAGCAGUAGGGAAUCUUCCGCAAUGGGCGAAAGCCUGACGGAGCAACGCCGCGUGAGUGAUGAAGGUCUUCGGAUCGUAAAACUCUGUUAUUAGGGAAGAACAUACGUGUAAGUAACUGUGCACGUCUUGACGGUACCUAAUCAGAAAGCCACGACUAACUACGUG
rnacentral:rRNA from 1 species